GCCCUUGUGGCAAAGUAGUUAUGCGUUUGUCUGCUAACCAAAAGGUCAGCAGUUCGAAUCUACCAGUCGCU
rnacentral:tRNA from 1 species